rnacentral:rRNA from 1 species
AUUGAACGCUGGCGGCAUGCCUUACACAUGCAAGUCGAACGGCAGCACGGGUGCUUGCACCUGGUGGCGAGUGGCGAGCGGGUGAGUAAUACAUCGGAACGUACCUUAUCGUGGGGGAUAACGCAGCGAAAGCUGUGCUAAUACCGCAUACGCCCUGAGGGGGAAAGCGGGGGAUCGCAAGACCUCGCGCGAUUAGAGCGGCCGAUGCCUGAUUAGCUUGUUGGUGGGGUAAAAGCCCACCAAGGCGACGAUCAGUAGCUGGUCUGAGAGGACGAUCAGCCACACUGGGACUGAGACACGGCCCAGACUCCUACGGAAGGCAGCAGUGGGGAAUUUUGGACAAUGGGGGCAACCCUGAUCCAGCAAUGCCGCGUGAGUGAAGAAGGCCUUCGGGUUGUAAAGCUCUUUUGUCAGGGAAGAAACACCGGCUCUAACACAGUCCGGGAAUGACGGUACCUGAAGGAUAAGCACCGGCUAACUACGUGCCAGCCGCCGCCGUAA